GACGAACGCUGGCGGCGUGCUUAACACAUGCAAGUCGAACGGAAAGGCCCUGCUUUUGUGGGGUGCUCGAGUGGCGAACGGGUGAGUAACACGUGAGUAACCUGCCCUUGACUUUGGGAUAACUUCAGGAAACUGGGGCUAAUACCGGAUAGGAGCUCCUGCUGCAUGGUGGGGGUUGGAAAGUUUCGGCGGUUGGGGAUGGACUCGCGGCUUAUCAGCUUGUUGGUGGAGUAGUGGCUUACCAAGGCUUUGACGGGUAGCCGGCCUGAGAGGGUGACCGGCCACAUUGGGACUGAGAUACGGCCCAGACUCCUACGGGAGGCAGCAGUGGGGAAUAUUGCACAAUGGGCGGAAGCCUGAUGCAGCAACGCCGCGUGCGGGAUGACGGCCUUCGGGUUGUAAACCGCUUUCGCCUGUGACGAAGCGAGAGUGACGGUAAUGGGUAAAGAAGCACCGGCUAACUACGUG
rnacentral:rRNA from 1 species